rnacentral:misc_RNA from 1 species
GGUGUGGGGUCUGACCUCAGCCGACCCCUAACCCUAAUCCUAACCCAGAAAGUGAGUUUGAUAAAGUUCCUAUCUUUCUCUUUCCUCUGUUUCUAUCUGUGCAAGCUAAAAUCUUCGGCAAAACAGAAAGUUCUAUAUAUAUUCUUGGAAAAUUCUUACCUUUGUACCCACGCCUCCAAAAUCGGCUCUUCCAUCUCAACAUUUCUCUCUCGAAAACCAUCAAAACAAACAAGACCUCUUUCUGCCCUUUUCCUCUCUGUCUAUCUGAAAAGAAAUCGAGGAAUUCUAACUAAAAACAGCUGAAUCUGUAUCAACAGGUAACAAGAAACAGAACCAACCCUUAUAAAAUCUUUCUCCCUCUACAACUACUUGUAAUUGUUCGCACCACCGCUUAUCCGCCUUUGGAGCCUCCUUUCCACCGCCAAUUGGGGUUUUCUUGAUUUGUCUGAAAACCCGUUUGCUGUAACCCAUAAAAGUGACAGGAAAAUCCUCAAACCCCUUUAAUUGUUUUCGUUUUUGUGGCCUGGGUCGAUGGCGGAAUUCGAAAAUAGCAUGGAAUUCACCGGCAAAUCCAAGCCCAGCACCAUGGCCUCCUCUUUCUUCAAUCGUUCUCUCACAAUCCACUCAUCAAAAUCAUCCCCCAAAGACUUCGUUCAAUCCCCUUCCAGAUUCUACAAUUCCUUCGAAUCCAUGAAAGGGAAGGUUAAAAAGCUCUGCAAUAUCUUCGAAUCGUCGAAAGCGCCCAACAAGUCAGUUCUCCAUGAAUCCCAAUCCCAAUUGCUAACGCAAGCGAGCAAGCUUAAGUCUGUGAAAUCCAUGGGACCUGAAUAUAAUAGGUACACUUUUGGGUUCACCAAUACUGGAAUUCGACUACCAGGUACCGAGGAUCGGAUUGUCGUUUAUUUCACUAGCUUGCGAGGAGUUCGAAGGACGUUUGAGGAUUGUUAUGCGGUUAGGAUGAUAUUUAGAGGGUUUAGGGUGUGGAUUGAUGAGAGGGAUAUAUCGAUGGAUGCAGCUUAUAGGAAGGAGUUGCAAAGUGUGUUGGGAGAGAAGAAUGUGAGCUUGCCACAGGUGUUUAUAAGGGGAAAUCAUGUGGGUGGUGCUGAAGUGAUUAAGCAAAUGUUUGAGACUGGAGAAUUGGCCAAGGUUCUUGAUGGGUUUCCAAGAAGACCGCCUGGGUUUGUUUGCGAAGCUUGUGGCGAUGUGAGGUUUGUGCCAUGUGGAAAUUGUAGUGGCAGCAGGAAGGUGUUCGAUGAAGAUGAAGAGGUGCUCAAGAGGUGCUUGGAAUGCAAUGAGAAUGGAUUGAUUCGGUGCCCAGACUGUUGUUCAUGAUUUUCUCUCCUAUACACACAUAUUUUUCUGCGUGUUUUUAGACGUUUUGUUGAUGUAUCAUGUAUGUAUGUAUGCGGAUAUUGUAUUGAAGAUUGAAUUCAAAAUGCUUUUUGGAUUCAUGGGCUUUUCUCUCUCAUUUCUAAUUCUAUGAUCAUCGGUUAGGGGAUCGAUGUUCAUUCUUCUGUGAAGAGUGUUAUGAGAAAUUGUGGUCUGUGGUAUCAAAACACCAAAUUUGGUUGUGUGUUUUGGUAGUACUGUGUACAAGGGAGAGAGUUUCUCCUUUAUGGCGAUGUAAAUAUUUAGUACUAAUGUAAUGCAAAACCAAAAAAAAGGGUGCAGAUGAUGGAUUGUAAUGAGAAUGGAUGAACAAUAUUUCCUUAAGUUGUUUAUAAUUUUGAUUUUUCUAUUUGUCAUAUUCCGACACCAGCAUGGAUGGCUUGCAAAUGAAUAUGGUUUAACUUUGUGGUUGCUUUGCGAAUUUUUCA